UUUAAUUGAUCAUGGCUCAGAGUCCNGCGGNGUAUAGUGCCUAACACAUGCAAGUCGAACGUGCAGCACAGGAGAGCUUGCUCUCUGGUGUGGCGAGUGGCAGACGGGUGAGGAAUACAUCGGAAUCUACUCUGUCGUGGGGGAUAACGUAGGAAACUUACGCUAAUACCGCAUACUGACCUACGUGGUAGAAAGCAGUGUGAUCUUCGGACCUUGCGCGAUUGAAUGAGCCGAUGUCGGAUUAGCUAGUUGGCGGGGUAAAGGCCCACCAAGGCGACGAUCCGUAGCUGGUCUGAGAGGAUGAUCAGCCACACUGNAACUGANACACGGGUCCCAGACUCCUACGUGGAGUGCCAGCAGGUGGGGGAAAUUUUUGGACCAAUGGGCGCAAAGCCUUGAUCCAGCCCAUAACCGGCG
rnacentral:rRNA from 1 species